UACGGAGGGAGCUAGCGUUGUUCGGAAUUACUGGGCGUAAAGCGCACGUAGGCGGCUUUGUAAGUUAGAGGUGAAAGCCUGGGGCUCAACUCCAGAAUUGCCUUUAAGACUGCAUCGCUUGAAUCAUGGAGAGGCGAGUGGAAUUCCGAGUGUAGAGGUGAAAUUCGUAGAUAUCGGGAGGAACAUCAGUGGCGAAGGCGGCUACCUGGCCCAAUACUGACACUCAGGUGCGACAGCGUGGGGAGCAAACAGG
rnacentral:rRNA from 1 species